UGGGGAAUAUUGGACAAUGGGCGAAAGCCUGAUCCAGCGACGCCGCGUGGGUGAAGAAGGCCUGCGGGUUGUAAAGCCCUUUCGGUAGGGACGAAAACUCUUGCCUUAACACGGCAGGAGCUUGACUUAACCUACAUAAGAAGCACCGGCUAACUCUGUGCCAGCAGCCGCGGUAAUACAGAGGGUGCGAGCGUUAAUCGGAAUUACUGGGCGUAAAGCGCACGUAGUCGGCUUUGCAAGCCGGUUGUGAAAUCCCCGGGCUCAACCUGGGAACUGCAUCCGGGACUGCAUUGCUAGAGUAUGGGAGAGGGAAGCGGAAUUUCUGGUGUAGCAGUGAAAUGCGUAGAUAUCAGAAGGAACAUCAGUGGCGAAGGCGGCUUCCUGGACCAAUACUGACGAUCAGGUGCGAAAGCGUGGGGAGCAAACAGG
rnacentral:rRNA from 1 species